AUACAGGGCCGGCAUCGAAAAAAAUAUUACAGUUGCGGAUUGAACGCAUGAGGAACCACUACGGGCAGGGUUAUGGGUGGAUGUAUAAUACUAAGUACUGUGGUGGAGAGGUCAGCGGUGCGGCUUACCUGAGGGAGGGCUCCCGUUUGAUGGGUGAAUCACCAGUAGCGGUGUUGCGUCUACUGCUGCUCACACUGGACCGUUUGUAUGUCCCACUAGGCUCCGGGCUAUCCGGCGGCGACGAAUCGGCGGCUGCGCCUGCAAGGACAUCGUCAACGUUUGAGGGUGCAUAACCAGAAUCAUGAUUACCAUUUGGAUCGGCCACCACAAGUUGUGGUGGACUGCUGAUCUGCGCAACAACACUGCGGGAUGACAACGCAAAUGGAUGACCGUGAAGCGCGGCCGCAUUUUUAAUUUAUGUUGACAUUGUGGAUGUGGCGACGAUGCGUGUUUGUGGUAUUUCCAGAUGGAUAGCGGUGUGCAAAAUGAAAAACGGGAAAAUAACAAAAAAUAUUUAUAAGAUGUAUGCAGAUGGCUGUGUAAUUGGAGGGUUGGCAGCGUUAUGAAAUUUUUUUCCUGACUAAAUAUACACCUUCUCACAUUACCUAAUGCCAACCAUGUUUCCAUGUGAAUUUGAUAGCGUAAAUUGUUUUAGAGCACAGGGAAGGAAGAUUUGCCAAAAGCUAUUGGAGUCUUGAGGUCUAGUGUUUUGUUAGGAUGUUUUAAAGCCAACACGUUGGAUAAUAUCUGAGAAAACAUUAACUUUUGUUCCCUCAUUUUUUUCUUAAUAUUAAGUAAUAUGCAUCUGGUAACGAAAGGACUUAACAAGACUACGCUAAUAAUAUUUGAGACAAGUUUAAUAAUGAAUAAGUUAUCAGUAAAAGAAGCUGUGAAUCAUAUUACUUAUAUGAGCCUUUAGUUUUACGGGUCGAAAUUGUCAUAAUCGCGAUUUUCGGUAUUUUCGCAAAUUUCCAAAUUUAAACAUAUUUUUUGUUGAGUUUUCACACACUUUUUUCUCAUAAGAAAUUGUAUAAAAGCAAGUGGCAAACUCGUAAUUUCUUUUGAAUUUAUCAGUAAUCACAAUUGGCCCCAGGAAGCAGUCGAGUUUUUCAUUUAUCCACUACUAAUUAUCCUGCUUUUGUCUCUCCAUCGCAUUGUAAUUUAUUUUACAUUUUGAAGGAUUUUUUUUGUAGCUCUCUUUCAUUACUUAUUACUGCGCUUUAUGUGUGUUUGUAAUUAACUAGUGUCUGUUGAAGUGUUAUUGUUGUU